GCUCCCAUGGCGUAGUGGUCACUGCACUCGCCUUGCACGCGGGAGACCUGGGUUCGAUUCCCUGCGGGGUCA
rnacentral:tRNA from 1 species